rnacentral:rRNA from 1 species
CCUACGGGAGGCAGCAGUGAGGAAUAUUGGUCAAUGGACGAGAGUCUGAACCAGCCAAGUAGCGUGAAGGAUGAAUGCCCAAUGUGUUGUAAACUUCUUUUAUAAAGGAAUAAAACGAGGCACGUGUGCCUGUUUGCAUGUACUUUAUGAAUAAGGAUCGGCUAACUCCGUGCCAGCAGCCGCGGUAAUACGGAGGAUCCGAGCGUUAUCCGGAUUUAUUGGGUUUAAAGGGUGCAGAGAGGGGUUGUUAAGUCAGGUGUGAAAGUUUGCGGCUCAACCGUAAAAUUGCAAUUAAAACUGGCAGUCUUGAGUACAGUUGAGGUAGGCGGAAUGCGUGGUGUAGCGGUGAAAUGCAUAGAUAUCGCGAAGAACCCCGAUUGCGAAGGCAGCUUACUAAACUGUGACUGACACUGAUGCACGAAAGUGUGGGUAUCAAACAGGAUUAGAUACCCGGGUAGUC